GAUGAACGCUAGCGGCAGGCUUAAUACAUGCAAGUCGAGGGGCAGCAGGUCCCGCAGCAAUGCGGGAUGCUGGCGACCGGCAAACGGGUGCGGAACACGUACGCAACCUACCCAUAACUGGAGGACAGCCCGGGGAAACCCGGAUUAAUACUCCGUAACAUAUUGAGAAGGCAUCUUCUUACUAUUAUAGUCUUCGGGCGGUUAUGGAUGGGCGUGCGCCUGAUAGGUAGUUGGCGGGGUAACGGCCCACCAAGCCUACGAUCAAUAACUGGUGUGAGAGCACGACCAGUCACACGGGCACUGAGACACGGGCCCGACUCCUACGGGAGGCAGCAGUAAGGAAUAUUGGGCAAUGGACGCAAGUCUGACCCA
rnacentral:rRNA from 1 species